GUUGACCACUUCAUUAAAGAUUGCCCGAGGUUGUCUGAACAGAAUGUAAAUCAGAGUGGGAAACCGGGUGCUACCACUGCUCGAGGUAGACCAUCUAGAAAUACGGGCAAUGCUAGUGGUGGUCAGAGAGGAUCUAGAGAUGCUAUGACCAGAUCCGAGGCUCGCGCUCCUGCUAGGGCUUAUGCUAUACGCGCACGCGAGGAUGCUUCCUCGCCAGAUGUUAUUAC
rnacentral:lncRNA from 1 species